rnacentral:lncRNA from 1 species
UUGAAUGAAGGCUCAGGCGGAGAGGAUCACUUUUCAAAGAUUGUAAAAGAAGUUACGUGGAUAGUGUGUGUUAUGCAGCAAGGAAAGGAAUGGAAAAUCAGAAGACGUGUUUAGAUCACACAAACCAGAGGUGAAAGCUGAAUCUGAGAGGCUUCUGUUUCCAGCAAUAAGCUCUGUUGUUUGGUGAAUACUCAUUUAGGAUUGUUAAAUCUUCUUGGAGGAUUGACCUUUUUAUCAUUAGGUUGCUGAAGAAGAAUCUUACUCUAGGGCUCACUAGCAACUUUGGACUGGUGAUGUAUAAGACAUUAUAUAUUUCUGGGGUUUUUUUUUUGCUUUUUUUAUUUACAAAAGGUGAAUUUAGUUGUUUCUCUCUCAUUCCCUUAGUUCAAAAAUGAUUAGCCCCAGAUAUUGCCCUAUUCUUUUCCAAAUUCUGGUUAUACAUCAAAAUAAACAACCAAACAAAAACAUAGGGUUAGGGGAGAUUGGAUGAAAGAAAGAAGAAGAUGAAAGAAAGAAGAAAAAAACAUUCAAAGGCAAUGUUUUUCUUAACUGCUGUUCCCUUCAGUAAGAUAUAUAUUUCAGGCUGUGUCCACAGCACACACAUAUUUAACUAAAACAAACAUUUGACAAAGCAAUAGUUAUCCUUACAGAGGGAUAUGACACUUUUAUAUUUCCUGUUCUAGUCUAUCCUUUUUAAUGGUGCUUUUGACACACUAAUUAAGUCCAUAAACCACGAAGGGAUACCACCAAUGGUUUGAAAAUGAUAUCUUAAGGAGAUGCAAAAAUGUGAAAAGAGGGAGUUUCGUUUCAUAUGUAAUACGUACUAACUGACCUAGACUUUGUGAAAGUGGUAAAAAAAAUCACAGUGUGAUUUCAUUUCUAUAAAGAAUGCACAUCCAUAUAGACUCCUUCAGGCUGGGUAGGAGGCAGUGCUGGGUUGUGCUUUCUUCUUUUUCUUUCUUUUUUUUUUUUUUUUU